GGGGAUGAUACAGAGGCUGGGAGGUGAAAUUAUUGGGAGGAUGUUGACAAGAAGAGAGACUCCUCUUUCGGGGAAACAGAAUGCAUUCUGUUUUGGACAAAUCUCAAGUUUGUGACGUCUAUGAGGACAUGCAGUUCGGUAUGUCCAAGAGGCAGUUGGUGACGGAAGACUGGAGGUCAAGGCUCAAUAAACAGAUUUGAGAAUCAUUUUCCUAGAGAUUAUCACUGAACCCAUGGGAGGUGAUGAGAUCACCAACUUAGAUGGCACACAGGGAAAAGAGAAGAGGGCCCAAUAUAGACCCCAGAGGGAACCCUAGAGUUAGGAAGUGUGAUCUGGAGCAAGAUCCAGCAAAGAAGACUGAGAAGUCAGCCAUGUAGGAGGAGAACACAUAAGAGUGAUGUCACAAAAACCCAGAAAGAAGACAAGCGUAUGCAGGAGAAGAGUGAGUGACAGUGUUAAAGGCCGUGGAGAGGUCCAGAAUGACGAGGAUUGAGAAAAAGCCACGGGGUUUGCCUGUUCAAAGGGUCUGGAUCAGGGGUUCUUAAUCUUAGAAUCCAUGACCCUGGACACAAAAAAGGUAAGAACCCCUACCGCUGUCUGCUGACCCCGAACCUCAGCUCUGAGAGGCUGGUCUGGUACAAUGGACAUGGCCCUUGCCAGGGAGACAGGAGACCAGCUUUGAGUCCCAAAUCUGAUGCUUACCAGCUGUCUGACCUUAGCCUCAGUUUCCUUGUCUGUAAAAUGGAGACGAUACUGCUGGGCUGACAAACCUCCCAGAGGAGGUUUGAAGAAAGCCUUUUAAAACUAUAAAAGCAUUAAAGAAAUGAGAAGUGCUAUUUUUAUCAGCCCGUAAUAGUCAAUUUCUAGCCUGGAUUUCUCAGAGAGUCACAGAAUUUGAAGGGGGACAUUGAACCUAGGUUCACAGACCUAAGUGGAAGUGACUUUAGCGGCCAAGCUCCUCUUUUUACAGAAGAGGAAAUGGAGGCCUGGAGAAGUGUCGUGACUCCAAGCUGUGCCACACAAAAGGGGGCAGUCGCUGCCCUCUGAAUCUG
rnacentral:lncRNA from 1 species